CUGACAGCUAAAGGGGAGUUUGAUCAAUUUCGAUUUUCUGGUAAAUGAAGAAAAUCGCCCCUCCUGUUCUCCUUCACACACGCCCAUUUAUUCACGCUGCAAGUCGCUCAACACGCCUUCCUGAAAGCUGCUUUUUAGCAGGGGCAGCUAUACUGGUGUGCUGGGCUGAGUCUGAGGAGUGGGUGGGUGCCGGCCUGCCCUCGAGGAUCUCGGGUCGCUGCGGGGAGGCAGAUGACAGAAUCGAUGUUCCACGUGGGGGCUAAGCUGAGAGCUACAGCUGCACAGAGGGUCAUGGGUAUGAGUGGAUCUAGAGGUCAUGAUGACGCAGCGAACCAGGUCUCAAAGGUCCAGAAAAGUCACGAGAGGUCUAAAAGGGAGUUAACACAGAAAAGUCUCUAAAAUGUUUCCCGGGCCUAGUCGUCAUCCCGAGAAAUCCGGGCCGUUGACUCUUCUUGGGUAGGCGCUGUGGUUGUGGCCACAGGUGGACAUCUGGCUGAAAGUGAAACCCUGCCUCCAGGACAGACCUCCCUUUGUUGAUGCGGUUCAGCCCCUCCCCAGACUGGGUGUGAGAUUUAUUACUGAACAUGGUUUAGUAGGGUACAGGAGAACAUGAGGAAACCCUCAGGAAUGCAGGGCCCGUCACUUUUCCAGGGGACUGCAUUUGGGACAUAUUUGACCCCACAACCAUCAGGGAUGAGCUGAUUC
rnacentral:lncRNA from 1 species